rnacentral:rRNA from 1 species
CCUGCGUGAAGUUGGAAUUGCUAGUAAUCGCGGAUCAGCAUGCCGCGGUGAAUACGUUCCCGGGCCUUGUACACACCGCCCGUCACACCAUGGGAGCCGGUAAUACCCGAAGCCAGUAGUCUAACCGCAAGGGGGACGCUGUCGAAGGUAGGAUUGGCGACUGGGGUGAAGUCGUAACAAGGUAAC